GCAGUGGCGGCGGCUACACAUGCAGUCGAACGGUAACAGGAUAGCUUGCUAUCGCUGACGAGUGGCGGCACGGGUGAGUAAUACUUAGGGAUCUGCCUCUGUGUGGGGGAUAACUAUUGGAAACGAUAGCUAAUACCGCAUAAUGUCUACGGACCAAAGCGGGCUUCGGCUCGUGCGCAGAGAGGAACCUAAGCGAGAUUAGCUAGUUGGUGAGGUAAAGGCUCACCAAGGCGACGAUCUCUAGCUGUUCUGAGAGGAAGAUCAGCCACACUGGAACUGAGACACGGUCCAGACUCCUACGGGAGGCAGCAGUGGGGAAUAUUGCACAAUGGGGGAAACCCUGAUGCAGCCAUGCCGCGUGUGUGAAGAAGGCCUUCGGGUUGUAAAGCACUUUCAGUUGUGAGGAAAGUUUAGUAGUUAAUACCUGCUAGAUGUGACGUUAGCAACAGAAGAAGCACCGGCUAACUCCGUGCCAGCAGCCGCGGUAAUACGGAGGGUGCGAGCGUUAAUCGGAAUUACUGGGCGUAAAGCGCACGCAGGCGGUCUGUUAAGCUAGAUGUGAAAGCCCCGCGCUCAACGUGGGAGGGUCAUUUAGAACUGGCAGACUAGAGUCUUGGAGAGGGGAGUGGAAUUCCAGGUGUAGCGGUGAAAUGCGUAGAGAUCUGGAGGAACAUCAAUGGCGAAGGCAACUCCCUGGCCAAAGACUGACGCUCAUGUGCGAAAGUGUGGGUAGCGAACAGGAUUAGAUACCCUGGGUAGUCCACACCGUAAACGCUGUCUACUAGCUGUUUGUGAAUUA
rnacentral:rRNA from 1 species